AGACGGGCCCCGCACAAGCAGCGGAGCGUGUGGUUUAAUUCGAUGUUACACGAAGAACCUUUACCAGGGUUUUGACAUGCAAGUGGUAGGAAGCCGAAAGGUGACCGACCCUUCGGGGAGCUUGCACAGGUGCUGCAUGGCUGUCGUCAGCUCGUGUCGUGAGAUGUUCGGUUAAGUCCGCUAACGAGCGCAACCCUCGCUGUGUGUUUAUAUGUGUCACACGGGACUGCCGGUCUUAAGCCGGAGGAAGGUGGGGAUGAUGUCAAGUCAGCAUGGCCUUUAUAUCCUGGGCUACACACACGCUACAAUGGCCAACACAAUAGGUUGCUAAGCCGCGAGGUGGCGCCAAUCCUCUAAAGCUGUCCUCAGUUCAGAUUGCAGGCUGCAACUCGCCUGCAUGAAGUUGGAGUUGCUAGUAACCGCAGGUCAGCUAUACUGCGGUGAAUACGUUCCCGGGGAUU
rnacentral:rRNA from 1 species